AGAGUUUGAUCCUGGCUCAGGAUGAACGCUAGCGGCAGGCUUAACACAUGCAAGUCGAGGGGCAGCAUAAUGGAUAGCAAUAUCUAUGGUGGCGACCGGCGCACGGGUGCGUAACGCGUAUGCAACCUACCUUUAACAGGGGGAUAACACUGAGAAAUUGGUACUAAUACCCCAUAAUAUCAUAGAAGGCAUCUUUUAUGGUUGAAAAUUCCGAUGGUUAGAGAUGGGCAUGCGUUGUAUUAGCUAGUUGGUGGGGUAACGGCUCACCAAGGCGACGAUACAUAGGGGGACUGAGAGGUUAACCCCCCACACUGGUACUGAGACACGGACCAGACUCCUACGGGAGGCAGCAGUGAGGAAUAUUGGUCAAUGGACGCAAGUCUGAACCAGCCAUGCCGCGUGCAGGAAGACGGCUCUAUGAGUUGUAAACUGCUUUUGUACGAGAGUAAACGCUCUUACGUGUAAGAGCCUGAAAGUAUCGUACGAAUAAGGAUCGGCUAACUCCGUGCCAGCAGCCGCGGUAAUACGGAGGAUCCAAGCGUUAUCCGGAUUUAUUGGGUUUAAAGGGUGCGUAGGCGGUUUGAUAAGUUAGAGGUGAAAUACCGGUGCUUAACACCGGAACUGCCUCUAAUACUGUUGAACUAGAGAGUAGUUGCGGUAGGCGGAAUGUAUGGUGUAGCGGUGAAAUGCUUAGAGAUCAUACAGAACACCGAUUGCGAAGGCAGCUUACCAAACUAUAUCUGACGUUGAGGCACGAAAGCGUGGGGAGCAAACAGGAUUAGAUACCCUGGUAGUCCACGCAGUAAACGAUGAUAACUCGUUGUCGGCGAUACACAGUCGGUGACUAAGCGAAAGCGAUAAGUUAUCCACCUGGGGAGUACGUUCGCAAGAAUGAAACUCAAAGGAAUUGACGGGGGCCCGCACAAGCGGAGGAACAUGUG
rnacentral:rRNA from 1 species